rnacentral:rRNA from 1 species
AUUGAACGCUGGCGGCAUGCCUUACACAUGCAAGUCGAACGGCAGCACGGGUGCUUGCACCUGGUGGCGAGUGGCGAACGGGUGAGUAAUACAUCGGAACAUGUCCUGUAGUGGGGGAUAGCCCGGCGAAAGCCGGAUUAAUACCGCAUACGAUCUACGGAUGAAAGCGGGGGACCUUCGGGCCUCGCGCUAUAGGGUUGGCCGAUGGCUGAUUAGCUAGUUGGUGGGGUAAAGGCCUACCAAGGCGACGAUCAGUAGCUGGUCUGAGAGGACGACGAGCCACACUGGGACUGAGACACGGCCCAUACUCCUACGGGAGGCAGCAGUGGGGAAUUUUGGACAAUGGGCGAAAGCCUGAUCCAGCAAUGCCGCGUGUGUGAAGAAGGCCUUCGGGUUGUAAAGCACUUUUGUCCGGAAAGAAAUCCUUGAUUCUAAUACAGUCGGGGGAUGACGGUACCGGAAGAAUAAGCACCGGCUAACUACGUGCCAGCCGCCGCAGUAA